AGAUUGAACGCUGGCGGCAUGCCUUACACAUGCAAGUCGAACGGCAGCAUGACGUGUAGCAAUACACGUUGAUGGCGAGUGGCGAACGGGUGAGUAAUAUAUCGGAACAUGUCCCGUAGCGGGGGGAUAACCUAUCGAAAGAUGGACUAAUACCGCAUACGCUCUACGGAGGAAAGCGGGGGUCGCAAGACCUCGCACUAUGGGAGUGGCCGAUAUCGGAUUAGCUAGUUGGCGGGGUAAAAGCCCACCAAGGCGACGAUCCGUAGCUGGUCUGAGAGGAUGAUCAGCCACACUGGAACUGAGACACGGUCCAGACUCCUACGGGAGGCAGCAGUGGGGAAUUUUGGACAAUGGGCGCAAGCCUGAUCCAGCCAUGCCGCGUGAGUGAAGAAGGCCUUCGGUUGUAAAGCUCUUUCGGCAGGAACGAAAUGGUUCGUAGUUAAUACACGGACUGAUGACGUACUAGAAGAAGAAGACACGCUAACG
rnacentral:rRNA from 1 species